ensembl:lncRNA
AGGGGUGAAGUGAGAAUGUCGGAGGUCUGCGCAGCUACGGGAUCCGCCGCCCCACGCAUCCUUUCUGAAUGCUUGGACCAGGCAGCCCAAGUCACCUGUGGACAGAUGUAGAUCACUGAAAAGGACCUGAUAUUGAACUGAAACCUGCCUUUCUGGAGCUACCACCUUGUGGAGACAAAUGGAAAUCCCUCACCUACGACCUUGAGCAGGGAAUUUAUGAGUUUAAAGUCCAAGAAGGUCCCCUAGGAAAGCACCACGGGGCCCUAAAGAGCAAAGAGAGAAGGCAGCCUGAGUCCACAGAGCUGAAACUUCACUCUCAGAGACCUCCAACCAGCUCAACUGAGAAUGGUACUAUUGGGGCAGGAGGUGCCUGAAUGAGAAAAAAGUUACCCGAAGGGAAGAACCAUUCCGCCUUCCCAGAGUAGACAGCAGUGACUAAAACACCGAAGCACCGAGCAGGAAAACGUGAGCUCUGGAGUAGCCUUUUAAGUAGUUGGGAAGGGGGUGUGGCCGAGGAGACUGGGAGGCCGCAGCUCGGCGAGGGGGG